ACAUCCUCUGCAGUAGCUGUAUUAUUCACCAGACAUUCAUAUAUAUCAUUAAUCUCUUAUUGAGUUGGAUUGAUGGCUUUUUUCUUUGAUUCUUUCACCAGCUGCUUGACAUCCUUAUAACAUUCUUUUUCAGCAUCAUCAUCUUUAUGUUGUGCAAUCUUUCUAUUUGCAUCUCUGACACAUUGAGUUCCAUCUGUAUGAGACUGUCUUGGAAAAUCUUGUUCAAUCAAUCACUCAGAUGGAGGGACUUGAAAUUGAUUAUAUUUUCUAUAUCUUACAUUGCAGUCUCCACUAUCUGAAUAUAGUAUUGUAGCUUCUCAGUUAUUUUGAAUGAGAAUAGCUGCAAGAAUUGCUACUGAGUCUCUAAUCUAGCAAGCUUCUCACUGGUUAUAAGCUAAGAUUGAGGCUUAUAUAGUGUUGCUGAGCUUGUUCACUAAGUCAGA
rnacentral:sRNA from 1 species